rnacentral:rRNA from 1 species
ACGGCUCAGUAACACGUGGAUAACCUGCCCUUGGGUCCGGCAUAACCCCGGGAAACUGGGGAUAAUUCCGGAUAACGCACAUAUGCUGGAAUGCUUUUUGCGUAAAAUGGAUUCGUCUGCCCAAGGAUGGGUCUGCGGCCUAUCAGGUAGUAGUGGGUGUAAUGUACCUACUAGCCUACGACGGGUACGGGUUGUGAGAGCAAGAGCCCGGAGAUGGAUUCUGAGACAUGAAUCCAGGCCCUACGGGGCGCAGCAGGCGCGAAAACUUUACAAUGCGGGAAACCGUGAUAAGGGGACACCGAGUGCCAGCGUCAUACGCUGGCUGUCCAGGUGUGUAAAAUACACCUGUUAGCAAGGGCCGGGCAAGACCGGUGCCAGCCGCCGCGGUAACACCGGCGGCCCGAGUGGUGAUCGUGAUUAUUGGGUCUAAAGGGUCCGUAGCCGGUUUGGUCAGUCCUCCGGGAAAUCUGACAGCUCAACUGUUAGGCUUUCGGAGGAUACUGCCAGACUUGGAACCGGGAGAGGUAAGAGGUACUACAGGGGUAGGAGUGAAAUCUUGUAAUCCCUGUGGGAUCACCUGUGGCGAAGGCGUCUUACCAGAACGGGUUCGACGGUGAGGGACGAAAGCUGGGGGCACGAACCGGAUUAGAUACCCGGGUAGUCCCAGCCGUAAACGAUGCUCGCUAGGUGUCAGGCAUGGCGCGACCGUGUCUGGUGCCGCAGGGAAGCCGUGAAGCGAGCCACCUGGGAAGUACGGCCGCAAGGCUGAAACUUAAAGGAAUUGGCGGGGGAGCAC